CACAUGCUGUGAGCUCGAUGAGUAGGGCGGGACACGUGGUAUCCUGUCUGAAUAUGGGGGGACCAUCCUCCAAGGCUAAAUACUCCUGACUGACCGAUAGUGAACCAGUACCGUGAGGGAAAGGCGAAAAGAACCCCGGCGAGGGGAGUGAAAAAGAACCUGAAACCGUGUACGUACAAGCAGUGGGAGCACGCUUAGGCGUGUGACUGCGUACCUUUUGUAUAAUGGGUCAGCGACUUAUAUUCUGUAGCAAGGUUAACCGAAUAGGGGAGCCGAAGGGAAACCGAGUCUUAACUGGGCGUUAAGUUGCAGGGUAUAGACCCGAAACCCGGUGAUCUAGCCAUGGGCAGGUUGAAGGUUGGGUAACACUAACUGGAGGACCGAACCGACUAAUGUUGAAAAAUUAGCGGAUGACUUGUGGCUGGGGGUGAAAGGCCAAUCAAACCGGGAGAUAGCUGGUUCUCCCCGAAAGCUAUUUAGGUAGCGCCUCGUGAAUUCAUCUCCGGGGGUAGAGCACUGUUUCGGCAAGGGGGUCAUCCCGACUUACCAACCCGAUGCAAACUGCGAAUACCGGAGAAUGUUAUCACGGGAGACACACGGCGGGUGCUAACGUCCGUCGUGAAGAGGGAAACAACCCAGACCGCCAGCUAAGGUCCCAAAGUCAUGGUUAAGUGGGAAACGAUGUGGGAAGGCCCAGACAGCCAGGAUGUUGGCUUAGAAGCAGCCAUCAUUUAAAGAAAGCGUAAUAGCUCACUGGUCGAGUCGGCCUGCGCGGAAGAUGUAACGGGGCUAAACCAUGCACCGAAGCUGCGGCAGCGACACUAUGUGUUGUUGGGUAGGGGAGCGUUCUGUAAGCCUGUGAAGGUGUGCUGUGAGGCAUGCUGGAGGUAUCAGAAGUGCGAAUGCUGACAUAAGUAACGAUAAAGCGGGUGAAAAGCCCGCUCGCCGGAAGACCAAGGGUUCCUGUCCAACGUUAAUCGGGGCAGGGUGAGUCGACCCCUAAGGCGAGGCCGAAAGGCGUAGUCGAUGGGAAACAGGUUAAUAUUCCUGUACUUGGUGUUACUGCGAAGGGGGGACGGAGAAGGCUAUGUUGGCCGGGCGACGGUUGUCCCGGUUUAAGCGUGUAGGCUGGUUUUCCAGGCAAAUCCGGAAAAUCAAGGCUGAGGCGUGAUGACGAGGCACUACGGUGCUGAAGCAACAAAUGCCCUGCUUCCAGGAAAAGCCUCUAAGCAUCAGGUAACAUCAAAUCGUACCCCAAACCGACACAGGUGGUCAGGUAGAGAAUACCAAGGCGCUUGAGAGAACUCGGGUGAAGGAACUAGGCAAAAUGGUGCCGUAACUUCGGGAGAAGGCACGCUGAUAUGUAGGUGAAGUCCCUCGCGGAUGGAGCUGAAAUCAGUCGAAGAUACCAGCUGGCUGCAACUGUUUAUUAAAAACACAGCACUGUGCAAACACGAAAGUGGACGUAUACGGUGUGACGCCUGCCCGGUGCCGGAAGGUUAAUUGAUGGGGUUAGCGCAAGCGAAGCUCUUGAUCGAAGCCCCGGUAAACGGCGGCCGUAACUAUAACGGUCCUAAGGUAGCGAAAUUCCUUGUCGGGUAAGUUCCGACCUGCACGAAUGGCGUAAUGAUGGCCAGGCUGUCUCCACCCGAGACUCAGUGAAAUUGAACUCGCUGUGAAGAUGCAGUGUACCCGCGGCAAGACGGAAAGACCCCGUGAACCUUUACUAUAGCUUGACACUGAACAUUGAGCCUUGAUGUGUAGGAUAGGUGGGAGGCUUUGAAGUGUGGACGCCAGUCUGCAUGGAGCCGACCUUGAAAUACCACCCUUUAAUGUUUGAUGUUCUAACGUGGACCCGUAAUCCGGGUUGCGGACAGUGUCUGGUGGGUAGUUUGACUGGGGCGGUCUCCUCCUAAAGAGUAACGGAGGAGCACGAAGGUUGGCUAAUCCUGGUCGGACAUCAGGAGGUUAGUGCAAUGGCAUAAGCCAGCUUGACUGCGAGCGUGACGGCGCGAGCAGGUGCGAAAGCAGGUCAUAGUGAUCCGGUGGUUCUGAAUGGAAGGGCCAUCGCUCAACGGAUAAAAGGUACUCCGGGGAUAACAGGCUGAUACCGCCCAAGAGUUCAUAUCGACGGCGGUGUUUGGCACCUCGAUGUCGGCUCAUCACAUCCUGGGGCUGAAGUAGGUCCCAAGGGUAUGGCUGUUCGCCAUUUAAAGUGGUACGCGAGCUGGGUUUAGAACGUCGUGAGACAGUUCGGUCCCUAUCUGCCGUGGGCGCUGGAGAA
rnacentral:rRNA from 1 species